rnacentral:rRNA from 1 species
GACGAAUGCUGGCGGCGUGCUUAACACAUGCAAGUCGAACGGACUAUUUCAUUUCGGUGGAAUAGUUAGUGGCGAACGGGUGAGUAACGCGUAGACAACCUACCUCUUAGAUGGGGACAACACCGCGAAAGUGGUGCUAACACCGAAUAUUGCUUGAGAAGCGCAUGCUUUUCAAACUAAAGAUGGCCUCUAUUUAUAAGCUAUCGCUAAAGAAUGGGUCUGCGUCUGAUUAGCUAGUUGGUGAGAUAAAAGCUCACCAAGGCAACGAUCAGUAGCCGGUCUGAGCGGAUGAACGGCCACACUGGGACUGAGACACGGCCCAGACUCCUACGGGAGGUAGCAGUGGGGAAUCUUCCGCAAUGGACGAAAGUCUGACGGAGCAACGCCGCGUGAGUGAUGAAGGUUUUCGGAUCGUAAAACUCUGUUGUUAAGGACGAAUGUAUAGAUUGUGAAUAAUGGUUUAUAAUGACGGUACUUAACGAGGAAGCCACGGCUAACUACGUGCCAGCAGCCGCGGUAA